UACGAUGAUGUUUUGUUCAAU
rnacentral:piRNA from 1 species